AGAUUUAUAAGAGCCACAGAUCCUCGGCACUGGUUUGGCACAAGACUUCCCGAGCAGGACAUGUAACCCACAAAAUUUAGCCAGUGUCCAGGGCUGCUCACAGCUUUGCUUCUUGUGAGAUUAAACGAAGAUGGUCUUAAAAUGGUUUUACCACAAGAAAACUUCCCCACAAGGAAUACACCUGUUGUCUUCCCCUGAGGCCUCACACUGCCACUCUGAGGAGUUUACAACUAAAUGAUAGAUCCAGAUGGUUUACCACAGAUCAUGGGGAGACAAUACAGGUUUUACAUCACUGCAAACUGAUCAGGAUCGAGUGCCAGUUACCUAACCAUCCACUCUGUGACCCACUAAAUCGAUAAUAAAUUCACAGCAAACCUGCUCCUGUCGCUCUCUGUAGCAUUUACAAGCUAUAUAUAACAUUUAAAGGUGCAGCAAUUCUGGAGAAAGAUAAUAGAUUAUUGAAUCAUAUACAGACGACUUGGUUGGUUGUCGGACUGAACCACCAACCCAAACAACCUGGAAAUGAGACUCAACAAUCAACAAUCUUUCUCCAGAAUUGCAUACUGCAACUUUAAUAUGUGAUUUAUUACACAUUAAAAUGUGUUUGAAAGCACA